rnacentral:rRNA from 1 species
AUAUAGGUCAAGCUACAAAGGGCGCAUGGUGAAUGCCUUGGCAUCAGGAGCCGAUGAAGGACGUGAUAAGCUGCGAUAAGCUUCGGGUAGGCGCACAUAGCCUGAGAUCCGAAGAUCUCCGAAUGAGGAAACUCACAUGGGAAACCCCAUGUAUCAUUAAGUGAAUACAUAGCUUAAUGAAGGUAACCCAGGGAACUGAAACAUCUAAGUACCUGGAGGAAGAGAAAGAAAAAUCGAUUUUCUUAGUAGCGGCGAGCGAAAGGGAAAGAGCCCAAACCGGAAACUUGUUUCCGGGGUUGUGGACAUAGCAUAAAAGUGGAGGCUAUUGUAACUGAAGAGAACUGGAAAGUUCCACCGUAGAAGGUAAUAGUCCUGUAAGUGAAACGAGAAGACCACGAGUUAUGAUCCAGAGUACCACGAGACACGUGAAACCUUGUGGGAAGCAGGGAGGACCACCUCCCAAGGCUAAAUACUACCUGAUGACCGAUAGUGAAGCAGUACCGUGAGGGAAAGGUGAAAAGAACCCCGGGAGGGGAGUGAAAUAGAACCUGAAACCGUGUGCCUACAACCGCUCAGAGCCCCUUAUGAGGGUGAUGAGGUGCUUUUUGUAGAACGAGCCAACGAGUUACGGUAUGUAGCAAGGUUAAGUACUUAAGGUACGGAGCCGAAGGGAAACCGAGUCUGAAUAGGGCGACUAGUUGCAUGCCGUAGACCCGAAACCGGGUGACCUAUCCAUGGCCAGGUUGAAGCGAGGGUAAAACCUCGUGGAGGACCGAACCACGUUGCUGUUGAAAAAGCAUGGGAUGAGCUGUGGAUAGCGGAGAAAUUCCAAUCGAACCCGGAGAUAGCUGGUUCUCUCCGAAAUAGCUUUAGGGCUAGCGUCGAGUAUGAGUAGUGGAGGUAGAGCACUGAAUGGGCUAGGGGGCAUAGCGCUUACCGAACCUUAUCAAACUCCGAAUGCCACAUACUUUGAGCUCGGCAGUCAGACUACGAAUGAUAAGAUCCGUGGUCAAAAGGGAAACAGCCCAGAUCGUCAGCUAAGGUCCCAAAGUGUAAGUUAAGUGGGAAAGGAUGUGAGAUUUCUAAGACAACUAGGAUGUUGGCUUAGAAGCAGCCAUUCAUUAAAAGAGUGCGUAAUAGCUCACUAGUCGAGAGAUCUUGCGCCGAAAAUGUAACGGGGCUAAACUUACCACCGAAGCUACGGGCUUGAACUUAGUUCAAGCGGUAGGAGAGCGUCGUAACCGGGCUGAAGUCGUACCGUAAGGAGCGGUGGACUGGUUACGAGUGAGAAUGUUGGCAUCAGUAGCGAGAUGUGGGUGAGAAUCCCACAGGCCGAAAACCUAAGGUUUCCUCAGGAAGGUUCGUCCGCUGAGGGUUAGUCGGGACCUAAGCCGAGGCCGAAAGGCGUAGGUGAUGGACAACUGGUUGAUAUUCCAGUACCACUACCAUCGUUAUUAUCGAUGGCGUGACGCAGGAGGAUAGUGUGUGCUAGCUAUUGGAUGCUAGUCUAAGCGUUUAGGCAGUGAGAGUAGGCAAAUCCGCUCUCAUAAUGCUGAGGCGUGAUGGGGAAGGUUCUACGGAACCGAAGUACAUGAUUCCACGCUGCCAAGAAAAGCGUCUAGAGAGAGAAGUAGUGCCCGUACCGCAAACCGACACAGGUAGGUGAGGAGAGAAUCCUAAGGCCGGCGGAAGAAUUACAGUUAAGGAACUCGGCAAAUUGACCCCGUAAGUUCGCGAGAAGGGGUGCCUACGAGAGUAGGCCGCAGAGAAUAGGCCCAAGCAACUGUUUAGCAAAAACACAGGUCUCUGCUAAAGCGUAAGCUGAUGUAUAGGGGCUGACGCCUGCCCGGUGCUGGAAGGUUAAGGGGAACACUUAGCGCAAGCGAAGGUGUGAACUUAAGCCCCAGUAAACGGCGGCCGUAACUAUAACGGUCCUAAGGUAGCGAAAUUCCUUGUCAGGUAAGUUCUGACCCGCACGAAUGGCGUAAUGACUUGGGCACUGUCUCAACUGUAAAUCCGGCGAAGUUGUAGUGCGAGUGAAGAUGCUCGCUACCCGCGAUUGGACGGAAAGACCCCGUAGAGCUUUACUGUAGCUUAGCAUUGAGUUUUGGUAUUGUCUGUACAGGAUAGGUGGGAGACUAGGAAACCAGGGCGUCAGCCUUGGUGGAGUCAACCUUGGGAUACCACCCUGACAGUACUGAAAUUCUAACUGGCGGCCAUGAAUCUGGUCACAGGACAUUGUUAGGUGGGCAGUUUGACUGGGGCGGUCGCCUCCUAAAAAGUAACGGAGGCGCCCAAAGGUUCCCUCAGAACGGUCGGAAAUCGUUCGAAGAGUGCAAAGGCAGAAGGGAGCCUGACUGCGACACCCACAAGUGGAGCAGGGACGAAAGUCGGGCUUAGUGAUCCGGUGGUACCUCGUGGGAGGGCCAUCGCUCAACGGAUAAAAGCUACCUCGGGGAUAACAGGCUGAUCUCCCCCAAGAGUCCACAUCGACGGGGAGGUUUGGCACCUCGAUGUCGGCUCGUCGCAUCCUGGGGCUGAAGUAGGUCCCAAGGGUUGGGCUGUUCGCCCAUUAAAGCGGCACGCGAGCUGGGUUCAGAACGUCGUGAGACAGUUCGGUCCCUAUCCGUCGCGGGCGUAGGAAAUUUGAGAGGAGCUGUCCUUAGUACGAGAGGACCGGGAUGGACUGACCUCUGGUGUACCAGUUGUUCCGCCAGGAGCACAGCUGGGUAGCUAAGUCGGGAAUGGAUAAACGCUGAAAGCAUCUAAGCGUGAAGCCAACCUCAAGAUGAGAUUUCCCAUAGCGUAAGCUAGUAAGAUCCCUUGAAGAACACAAGGUUGAUAGGUCGGGGGUGUAAGCAUGGUAACAUGUUCAGCUGACCGAUACUAAUA